CCAGCCCUUUCAUAGGUCUUCCCUCAGGCUGGGGCUGGGAUUUGGUUGUUGGUACUGAGAGAAAAUCUGUGUUGCAUCCUGGCCUGAGACUAUACAGUGGCAGCUAUCACUCAGGUUGACAGAG
rnacentral:snoRNA from 1 species